UGUGCUCAUAUUUUGAAUAUAAUUGUUCAAGAUGGAUUAAAAGUUAUGGGUGACAGAAUAGAAAGGGUGAGAGAUAUGGGGAAUUUGUGAUG